AUUAUUUGAGCGCCACUGAUUAGUCUUUUGUAAACAAAAAGCAGGUGUGCAAAGUUUUAGUUCUGGUAUCUAUGAUGAGUUUAUUUACAACCACUGGGUCAAUGCCACUGCUGGUGGAGGUCUUUUUUCCCAGAGGGUAUCACCAGCCCAGUAGUCAGCACUUCUGUGUUGACAUGAGUUAUUGAUAAGAUAAUAAAAGAA
rnacentral:lncRNA from 1 species